GGUUAAGCGACUAAGCGUACACGGUGGAUGCCCUGGCAGUCAGAGGCGAUGAAGGACGUGCUAAUCUGCGAAAAGCGUCGGUAAGGUGAUAUGAACCGUUAUAACCGGCGAUGUCCGAAUGGGGAAACCCAGUGCAAUUCGUUGCACUAUCGUUAACUGAAUACAUAGGUUAACGAGGCGAACCGGGGGAACUGAAACAUCUAAGUACCCCGAGGAAAAGAAAUCAACCGAGAUUCCCCCAGUAGCGGCGAGCGAACGGGGAGCAGCCCAGAGUCUGAAUCAGCUUGUGUGUUAGUGGAACGGUCUGGAAAGUCCGACGGUACAGGGUGAUAGUCCCGUACACCAAAAUGCACAGGCUGUGAACUCGAAGAGUAGGGCGGGACACGUGGUAUCCUGUCUGAAUAUGGGGGGACCAUCCUCCAAGGCUAAAUACUCCUGACUGACCGAUAGUGAACCAGUACCGUGAGGGAAAGGCGAAAAGAACCCCGGCGAGGGGAGUGAAAAAGAACCUGAAACCGUGUACGUACAAGCAGUGGGAGCACCUUCGGGUGUGACUGCGUACCUUUUGUAUAAUGGGUCAGCGACUUAUAUUCUGUAGCAAGGUUAACCGUAUAGGGGAGCCGCAGGGAAACCGAGUCUUAACUGGGCGUUAAGUUGCAGGGUAUAGACCCGAAACCCGGUGAUCUAGCCAUGGGCAGGUUGAAGGUUGGGUAACACUAACUGGAGGACCGAACCGACUAAUGUUGAAAAAUUAGCGGAUGACUUGUGGCUGGGGGUGAAAGGCCAAUCAAACCGGGAGAUAGCUGGUUCUCCCCGAAAGCUAUUUAGGUAGCGCCUCGUGAACUCAUCUUCGGGGGUAGAGCACUGUUUCGGCUAGGGGGUCAUCCCGACUUACCAACCGAUGCAAACUACGAAUACCGAAGAAUGUUAUCACGGGAGACACACGGCGGGUGCUAACGUCCGUCGUGAAGAGGGAAACAACCCAGACCGCCAGCUAAGGUCCCAAAGUCAUGGUUAAGUGGGAAACGAUGUGGGAAGGCACAGACAGCCAGGAUGUUGGCUUAGAAGCAGCCAUCAUUUAAAGAAAGCGUAAUAGCUCACUGGUCGAGUCGGCCUGCGCGGAAGAUGUAACGGGGCUAAACCAUGCACCGAAGCUGCGGCAGCGACACUAUGUGUUGUUGGGUAGGGGAGCGUUCUGUAAGCCUGCGAAGGUGACCUGUGAGGGUUGCUGGAGGUAUCAGAAGUGCGAAUGCUGACAUAAGUAACGAUAAAGCGGGUGAAAAGCCCGCUCGCCGGAAGACCAAGGGUUCCUGUCCAACGUUAAUCGGGGCAGGGUGAGUCGACCCUAAGGCGAGGCCGAAAGGCGUAGUCGAUGGGAAACAGGUUAAUAUUCCUGUACUUGGUGUUACUGCGAAGGGGGGACGGAGAAGGCUAUGUUAGCCGGGCGACGGUUGUCCCGGUUUAAGCAUGUAGGCUGAUUAUCCAGGCAAAUCCGGAUAAUCAAGGCUGAGGUGUGAUGACGAGGCACUACGGUGCUGAAGUAACAAAUGCCCUGCUUCCAGGAAAAGCCUCUAAGCAUCAGGUAACAUCAAAUCGUACCCCAAACCGACACAGGUGGUCAGGUAGAGAAUACCAAGGCGCUUGAGAGAACUCGGGUGAAGGAACUAGGCAAAAUGGUGCCGUAACUUCGGGAGAAGGCACGCUGGUGUGUAGGUGAAGCCCCUGCGGGUGGAGCUGAGACCAGUCGAAGAUACCAGCUGGCUGCAACUGUUUAUUAAAAACACAGCACUGUGCAAACACGAAAGUGGACGUAUACGGUGUGACGCCUGCCCGGUGCCGGAAGGUUAAUUGAUGGGGUUAUCCGUAAGGAGAAGCUCUUGAUCGAAGCCCCGGUAAACGGCGGCCGUAACUAUAACGGUCCUAAGGUAGCGAAAUUCCUUGUCGGGUAAGUUCCGACCUGCACGAAUGGCGUAAUGAUGGCCAGGCUGUCUCCACCCGAGACUCAGUGAAAUUGAACUCGCUGUGAAGAUGCAGUGUACCCGCGGCAAGACGGAAAGACCCCGUGAACCUUUACUAUAGCUUGACACUGAACAUUGAGCCUUGAUGUGUAGGAUAGGUGGGAGGCUUUGAAGCGUGGACGCCAGUCUGCGUGGAGCCAACCUUGAAAUACCACCCUUUAAUGUUUGAUGUUCUAACGUUGGCCCCUGACCGGGGUUGCGGACAGUGUCUGGUGGGUAGUUUGACUGGGGCGGUCUCCUCCCAAAGCGUAACGGAGGAGCACGAAGGUUAGCUAAUCCUGGUCGGACAUCAGGAGGUUAGUGCAAUGGCAUAAGCUAGCUUGACUGCGAGCGUGACGGCGCGAGCAGGUGCGAAAGCAGGUCAUAGUGAUCCGGUGGUUCUGAAUGGAAGGGCCAUCGCUCAACGGAUAAAAGGUACUCCGGGGAUAACAGGCUGAUACCGCCCAAGAGUUCAUAUCGACGGCGGUGUUUGGCACCUCGAUGUCGGCUCAUCACAUCCUGGGGCUGAAGUAGGUCCCAAGGGUAUGGCUGUUCGCCAUUUAAAGUGGUACGCGAGCUGGGUUUAGAACGUCGUGAGACAGUUCGGUCCCUAUCUGCCGUGGGCGCUGGAGAAUUGAGGGGGGCUGCUCCUAGUACGAGAGGACCGGAGUGGACGCAUCACUGGUGUUCGGGUUGUCAUGCCAAUGGCACUGCCCGGUAGCUAAAUGCGGAAGAGAUAAGUGCUGAAAGCAUCUAAGCACGAAACUUGCCCCGAGAUGAGUUCUCCCUGAGACUUUAAGUCUCCUGAAGGAACGUUGAAGACGACGACGUUGAUAGGCCGGGUGUGUAAGCGCAGCGAUGCGUUGAGCUAACCGGUACUAAUGAACCGUGAGGCUUAACCUU
rfam:Klebsiella pneumoniae IS46, WGS project CBWL01000000 data, contig: c47